GCACAAGCGGUGGAGCAUGUGGUUAAUUCGACGCAACGCGAAGAACCUUACCAGGGCUUGACAUCCCCUGACCGCGUAUGAAAGUACGUUUUCACCCUCGGGUGACAGGGAGACAGGUGGUGCAUGGUUGUCGUCAGCUCGUGUCGUGAGAUGUUGGGUUAAGUCCCGCAACGAGCGCAACCCCUACGUUUAGUUGCUAACAGGUGAAGCUGAGCACUCUAGACGAACUGCCGUUGACAAAACGGAGGAAGGUGGGAUGACGUCAAAUCAUCAUGCCCCUUAUGUUCUGGGCUACACACGUGCUACAAUGGCCGGUACAGACGGAGGCGAAGCCGCGAGGCGGAGCAAAUCCGAAAAAGCCGGUCUCAGUUCGGAUUGCAGGCUGCAAUUCGCCUGCAUGAAGUCGGAAUCGCUAGUAAUCGCAGGUCAGCAUACUGCGGUCGAAUACGUUCCCGGGCCUU
rnacentral:rRNA from 1 species